ensembl:lncRNA
CUGUGAGGUCGCGGUUCUGUUUGUUUUACAGAUAAAGGAAGUAAGGCACAGUGUCCAAAGUGGUGGAGAUGGCAGUCUGAUCCUGAUGCUGUGAUUUAAACCAUUUCACACGCUGCUACAAGCUAAGGAUGACAGUGGGCAGCUGGAUAUAUAUUUCUAGGGAGAUAUGGUCAAUCUGAUAGUAGAGACCACAGUGAAGAGGGGAGAGUCACAGUAUAUCUCGGUGUUGGCAACGAGUCAGUGAUUGCUGUGGAAAAGGCAAAGAUCUCUGGAACAAGAAUUGGGAACAACGACAACAUUCUGAGCUUCCCAGAAGCCUCCCCCUCAGAAGUGGAAAUAGACCCUACUGUCCUCAGUCUUUGCUCUGGGGCUCUUCUUAUGUAUCCAAAGACAAGUGGAUGUGCUCUUGCUCUGCUAAACUGUCUCCUCCAGGUCUCAAUUCUCCUCGCCCGCCAGUCUCUACAAUUGAAAAGGGGCGGCAAAGAGAUUUGUUUUCUCAGAGACAUAAACUAAUUCCUCCCCCUGUUCUUCCAACUUGAGAGGCAGAUUUGAUUAUGGGUAGUUUUGAUUAAAAACAAGCUCCACCCCCAACCCUCCACUACUAGAAUAAUAAUGUAAGGGAGCAUUGUGACGUGUUAUUGUUCUCUCUUCAUAAUGUUAUCCAUUGAUGCUAAUAUCUUUUUCUACUCCCAAAGGUUGCUGAAUAAUGUAGCAAAUAUAGUGGACUCAGAACUCUGAUAAUAAAAUGACUGAAUUCUCCAAGGCCUGGUUUUCAGUCACAAGGUUCCUAAUCUUUGCCUUCCUACUGCUAGAAAGGCCAAACUGGUUUCCCAAUCUUUAUCAGUGAAUUAUAUUGAAAGGGGACCAGGAGAGAGGAAGAUGUUGACUUUUGGGAGAAUGCGGAAGUCAUAUUGUGAAAACUACUCUUCCCUACUCAGAGAAGGACUUUGGACUUGUUUCUCUCCUUUUCCUGUACAUCUGUGGAUGUCUGAGCAAUCUGUUCCCUCCUCUCUAUUUGGUUAGGUGCUGACAACCGUCUCUUGUCCUAAAGCUGUUUCUUAUUGGACCAGCAGAGUGUUUGAUACUAAUUAGGCAAGGAGAAAGUGGUAGGGGAGACAUGGCUUAACCAGAGGGCACCUGCAUUUCCUGCCGUUUUAUUUGCAAAGAUACUUAGAUUUCCCUGCAUUGGGUGGAUGCCAAAGAAGAUGGAUGGGGUGAAAGCUUUCUUGCAGAUGUCUUCCAGAAGGACUGUGGAAGAGUAGGUCCCAGCUACAGAAAGUCUGUAGAUUGAAUUGCACAAGGAAAAGGCUGGGGAGUAGGUACAAAGAGGCCUAGUUAAGACCCUUCAGGACCCGCCAAUGAACCAAAAAAUGCACAUCCAGUCCCUGGACACCUGCUGUGCAGAGGAGGCCCUGCCGCGUUGGAAGAUAAGAGACAGCAACAGCCGUCAGAAAGGGUGUCAGAGUCGCCAGUAGCAGCUCGCUGUUUCCCAAGGACGUCCAUGUUGCCUCCUCCUUUAGCAGUUGGCUGAAGUUUUGCAGGUAAAUGCAGGCUGGAGAAUCAGAGAGGAGAAAGGGAGAAGGCAGUCAUGAGAAAGUAGACCAUGUCUUCAGUGGUGGGCUGGAAACAGUUCAUACCUGCUUGAGAGACUAAGUUUAAAUUUUCAGGAAUUUUGCCAGUUGUUCAUUGGUGAUUUGAAUCAGCCUUGGUGGGAGUACUUUAUACAGCACUCGGUAC